rnacentral:rRNA from 1 species
AUUGAACGCUGGCGGCAGGCCUAACACAUGCAAGUCGAGCGGAUGAAGGGAGCUUGCUCCUGGAUUCAGCGGCGGACGGGUGAGUAAUGCCUAGGAAUGUGCCUGGUAGUGGGGGAUAACGUCCGGAAACGGGCGCUAAUACCGCAUACGUCCUGAGGGAGAAAGCGGGGGAUCUUCGGACCCCACGCUAUCAGAUGACCCUAGGUCGGAUUAGCUAGUUGGUGGGGUAAAGGCCUACCAAGGCGACGAUCCGUAACUGGUCUGAGAGGAUGAUCAGUCACACUGGAACUGAGACACGGUCCAGACUCCUACGGGAGGCAGCAGUGGGGAAUAUUGGACAAUGGGCGAAAGCCUGAUCCAGCCAUGCCGCGUGUGUGAAGAAGGUCUUCGGAUUGUAAAGCACUUUAAGUUGGGAGGAAGGGCAGUAAGUUAAUACCUUGCUGUUUUGACGUUACCAACAGAAUAAGCACCGGCUAACUUCGUG